GAUGAACGCUGGCGGCGUGCCUAAUACAUGCAAGUCGAGCGAACAGACGAGGAUCUUGCUCCUCUGACGUUAGCGGCGGACGGGUGAGUAACACGUGGAUAACCUACCUAUAAGACUGGGAUAACUUCGGGAAACCGGAGCUAAUACCGGAUAAUAUAUUGAACCGCAUGGUUCAAUAGUGAAAUACGGCUUUUCUGUCACUACUAGAUGGAUCUGCGCCUCAUUAGCUAGUUGGGAAGGUAACGGCUUACGAAGGCGACGAUGCGUAGACGAACUGAGAGAGUGGUAGGCCACAUUAGAGCUUGAACGCGGACCUGAGUACUGAGAGAGGGAGCAGUCGCGUAUGUGACGCAGCGGGCGGGAGCAUGGCGGAACAGGGCGGCGUGAGUGAUAGAGAUCUUCGGAUCGUAAAACUCUGUUAUUAGGGAAAAACAAAUGUGUAAGUAACUAUGCACGUCUUGACGGUAACUAAUAAGAAAGCAACGGCUAACUACGUG
rnacentral:rRNA from 1 species